AGAACUGAGCUAAGAUUUAAAAUUUUGUGUUCUUUUAUUUUGUGAUAUGGUUCCGUUGUGAAGGGCUCGCUUGCUCUUCACUAUUUGGUCUCUGGUACCCUCCUUCCUGUUUUCUAGGAUUCACUUUCGGAUUCUUUUUGUUUCAGGCUGUCUCGUGAAGCAGGACUCCAGUGUAGAAAAGGGCCUUGAAAUUUGAAUCAUGCUUGGCUUCCAUCUCCCCAAUCCUGGAGCUGCAGGUACAUGGGAACAAAACAAAACCCAGAACGUUCCCCGCCUGAGCUGGAUGUGGUACAUACACAGUGGGAUAUCCUGUAGCCACACAAUGAAUACCAGGAAGAUGGCAGACAGGUUCCAGCGCAGAACAGCCACAAACCUGCUGGACGAAGCUGCUUCUCUCCUCUGUGAAAACUUGGCCUUGCGGAGGGGCUGGGGUGUACGUUCAGAACACCUCUAUGUGGCCUUUGUUGUUUCUUUGGGGAAAGGUUUGUGGUGGGGUU